CCCUUAGAUGUUCUGGGCUGCACGCGCGCUACACUGAUGCGCUCAACGAGUUUAUAACCUUGUCCGGCAGGAUUGGGUAAUCUUCUUAAAACGCAUCGUGAUGGGGAUAGAUUAUUGAAAUUAUUAAUCUUGAACGAGGAAUUCCUAGUAAACGCAGAUCAUCAAUCUGCAUUGAUUACGUCCCUGCCCUUUGUACACACCGCCCGUCGCACCUACCGAUUGGAUGGUCCGGUGAAGCCUCGGGAUUGUGGUUCUUGCCGCUUUAUUGUAGCGUGACCGCGAGAACUUGUCUAAACCUUAUCAUCUAGAGGAAGGUGAAGUCGUAACA
rnacentral:rRNA from 1 species